UUGUGGUCAGGCAUCUGUGACGUAUAGGUUUGGAGGAAUGCUUUUUGUGUACAGUCUAUUGGAGUUGUGUACUCUUCCUAAUGAACUCUUGAUGUUACCCAGAAUUAGGGUGUGGUCGUCACAGCCCAGUAAUUAUACUGCUUCCAUGGACUACAAAAGAGAUCUAUACUUCUGAAGAAAAUUAAUGGAUAGAUCUACUUAUGUUGAAAGAGACUGUCAUACACAAAGUCAGACAUUCGAACCUUGUAGGCCAACCGAAGCUGAUGUUGGAGGAGAAACAGGCCAUUUUGCAAACAAAUUCAGGGCUAGAUCUAUAUCCAGCACAAGUAGUGAUGAUGUCGAGAGAGACUGCUCUAGAUCUAUUAAGAGAACCAGGCCCCAGAGUGAUGUUGAGGGAGACUCUCCAAUAAAAAUACCUCGUGUUUUCAACAGUGUUCACGAUCAGUUGCUCUACUUAGCUACUUCAAAGGAUAAGAUUGAAGAAGCUAUAUUUCUCUUAGCCCAAGGAGCUAAUCCAAACUAUAUCUUUCCAGAACCACCUAGGUAUAGCAUACUUCACAAAGCUUGCUACAAUAACAACUCACAAUUAAUAAAGGAACUACCAAUCUAAAGACGAUCAAUGGCUAUACUCCCUUGCACAUAGCAUGCGUGUUUGGACACAUACAAUGCAUAAAGCUUCUUCUCGAAAGUUGUAUCUGCAAUACAGAAGUGAAAAAUAACGAAGAUAAAACACCCUUGGAUCUGGUAAAAGCAAAAGCAAAAGGUGAACUAAAAUUAAUGGAAAAUUCAACAAAAUCCAGAAGUACAUGGAAUGUUUUCUUGCUAACAGCCCACCUAGCAAUACCUUUAUGACAAGUUCUGACGUGUUUUCCCAUCUUAUUGAUAUUGGCAAGCACCUGCGUUCACUUUUGGAGGUCUUAUCUGAAGUGUUUUGUAAAUGGUUUGAAUUUGGAGUUGAACUUCAAAUUGAAGGCUCUGAGCUAGAGCGAUUCAGUAUGGAAAAUCAAGGAGUCCAACAGUGUUUCACAGCUAUGCUGGUACAUUUUUUCUCUCAUGAUACAACUUCUACUUGGUCAAGCAUCAUUAGGGUAGUGCAGUCACGUACUGUUAACUGUCCACAUUUAGUGAAGCAACUUAUCAAUUUGGCCGAAAAAUUUGCUAAGUAAUUUCUUUAUUAUUUUCAUUCCGUUAAAAUUACUACAUGUACUAUUUCCUCAUGCA